AGCGAGGUAGGGCAGAGAAUUAAAGGAAACUUUAAGUCGUCCAAUCAGGAGUGCCCGUCGGGCUCAUAACCCGGAGGUCGUCGGUUCAAAUCCAACCCUCGCUA
rnacentral:tRNA from 1 species